ensembl:lncRNA
CACACACACACACACACACUCUAACACUCUCUCUCUCUCUCUCUCUCUGUCUCUCUCUCUGACACACACACAUGAGAAGGAAUCAGGAUCAAGUGGAACGAGAGUCACAGUCUAGUCAGUCAUAUGAACACAGGACUGGUUUAGUCACCAUGAGAAACCUUAUUCUAACCUGGACAUUUCUCUUUAUUUUACAUCUGACCAAAGAGGACACUUCAGUGCAAAAGCUGAGUGCCCCAGAAAAGCAUUUUCUUGUGCUGAUGUGUUCUGACGCUUCAUAUGUUAACUGGAGCCAUGGGCUGGAAAGGAUGAUCGCCUCUAGACAAAGAAAGCAGGUGUCUUACCUGGACCAAAGCAAACACCAGCUGCUUGAAGAUGGCCAGCUCUCCAUUAAAGACCUGCAGGAAUCAGACGCAGGAGAAUAUUACUGCAACCAUCAGCUAGUGGCAGAUAUCACUGUGCUCAAAGGUCAUAACUUUACAGUUCCUGAGGGCACAACUGUUUAUCUUCCAUGUAAGACAUCUAAUAAAAUGAAGCAGAGAUGGGCAUUCAAACGCACUCCUCAGUCCAGAAAAGAGUUCAUCUCCACGCUUUAUAAAAACAGCACCAUAAAGAAAGAGAGAGCUGAUCCAACAUUAAGAUUCACUCACACCACAGAUGACCUGAUUAUCUCAGAUCUCCAGCUGCAGGACUCUGGGCUUUAUCUGUGCAACAACAGAGAGAUGGCUUUCCUUACGGUGACCACAGAAUCGACUGAAAUUGAAAACAGCAGUCCAGAUAUAAAUAAAUACGGGCCGACAUACAUUGCAUCAGGUCUACAAUUACAAAGGAUGUCAAAUGAAGGCCCCUGGAUGUUGGACACUCAUGAGGAUGCAGGGGAAAUCCAGUACGCGUCUCUGGGUGGGCAGCACUGGAAGCAGACAGACAGACAGCUGAGCAGCAGACAGCAUGUCAUUUACUCCACACUGACCACGUCAUGAAAACAACACACUCAUUUACACUGGAUAUGUACAGUCCAUAUGAGUCAUGUUCACUGAUAUGUAAACAUAAACCAAAUACACAUAAAACACCUUACAUAGAACUGAAAUCACUGUCUUAGCUUUAUUGUCAUCCUACAAAAGCUAGCUUAUAUAGAAACAAACAAAUGAAAAAGAAACCAUAGACUAUAGCAGGCAUAAUAUAGUAACAUAGCACAUGUAAUAUACACUACCAUUUAAUAUAUAUAACAACGAUACUAUAAACUGGUGACAGUAAAUACUUUUAUAAAAUCUUACAAAGAAGUCUAUUUUAAUAAAUGCUGUUUCCUUGAAAUUUUUAUAUAAAGAAUCCUGAAAACAAUAAAUUAUGAUCCUAAAAAAAUUUUUUAAAAAUAUAUUUGAAAAGAAAACAGUUAUUUUAAAUUGCAAAAAUAUUUCACAUUAUUUCCUGUAUUUAAAGGGGUCAUCGGAUGCCCAUUUUCCACAAGUUGAUAUGAUUCUUUAGGGUCUUAAGAAACGUCUAUAUCAUACUUUGGUUAAAGUUUCUCAGUGGUAGUGUAAAACAACACCUUUUUAUCCUGUCAAAAACAGCUCUGUUCACAGCAAGCCGUUUGGGUGCAUGUCCCUUUAAAUGCUAAUGAGCUGACUCCGCCCCUCUCUUCAGAGGACUGACGAGCAGUUCUUGCUAACGAGCACAUGAUUAGGAAAGGCCAAAGAUUGAUUAAAGAAGCUUCCACUCACUUCUUCUGGAGGUGACGCUGGAUCACGAAUGAUCGCGUGAACAUAGACACAUUUAUGAAGAUCAGGACACAUUCUCUUCAGAAACAAAUGUAAUCCACUGCGUCUUCAGCGCUCAGAUGUUAGCAGUAAAUGAUGACUGCUGUGUUCAUCAUUACAUCAACAACACAACACGAGUCAUUCUUUCAUUCUGUGUCUUCCUCUGCACGGGAGUUGACACAAUGGUGGACAGAUCACAGCUCACUCAGGGCGGGUCUAAGGUAAGACAGCCUUGUCAAUCAACUAUCGUGGGAGGGGCCUGUGCAGAACUACAUCAUUCUGACAGGAAUCUCAGAGCAGGCUGAUUUGAGAAAGGGGAUUUUUAAAAAAAAACACUGGGUGGAUGUUUAUCAUUAUAGGUUAGAUGUGUACACACACUUCCAACACACAUUUAUGUUUAAACAACAUGUAAAGUGAAUUUUGUAUUCGAUGACCCCUUUAAACCAACUAAAUGUAGCCUUGGUGAACAAAACAGACUUCUUUCAAAACCAUUAAAAAUCAUUCCAACCCCAAACUUUUGAAUGGUAUUGUAUAAAUAAUGUUUUUUUCCACAGGCUUGGAAUAAGUACAGAGUAUAGAUGUUGGUAUAGUAGACUUCUUAAACUGUCUCUGUUAGUAUGAAGCUGAUUAAAUGCAGUGAAAUCAGGACGUGUGGUUGGUUAUAGCUGCGUAUGUCACGUUGACUGGAGCGGGAGGCGCGGCUCUGGACCGUCUGAGGAACUGGAGACUGGCGUACUGUACUUGUGCUGCCUGGAAAACAACAGCAUCUCCCUGCAUUAAUGAAUCAAUAUUAAUAUCACUCUCAGAGCACACAAACUACACAAACUACAGACAAACAGGAGAACAAAGGUUCCUUUCGUAGUUAGGCCACUUCUUUGUGGUAUUCUUAUACCUGUUUUUACAUUGAUCCUGCAUCAUAUUCUGAGUUUGUAGUUUUCUAAUGCCGAUGUCUUACAUUUUUUUUGUGCUUAUAGAAUUUUAGUUAUCCCAUUCUUAUGCUACUUUUUUGCAUAUAUGCCAUUUUUUUAAAGAAUCCAAGUCCAUCCCACCUUGAUAUUUGAGUUUUCUGACACGCAGCUGGUGCAGGAGACCCUGGAAGAACCUAAAAGAAAAACACAUGUAAAAUGAUGCACAGCACUGUGUGGUGUAACCUGCAUUUCAAUCAGGUUUUUUGGGGUUCAUGCUGUUUUAUAGGGGUCAUGAACUGUGAAAUCAACAUUUCUUUGAUAUUUUGACAUAUAAGAGGUUGCUGUACUAUAAAAAACAUCCCGCAAGUUUCAUAACUCAAAACUUUCUUGUUAGUCUAAAAACAGCUUAUAUUGAAGGCAGUCUGCCAAAGCAAAAGCUUGUGGAAUGUUCUACUCUGUGAUGUAAUAGUGUGGAUAAGCACCGCCUCCCCAGAAGAGUCACUACAUCACUGCCUGUUUAGCCCCACCCACUGAUUAUACAGGGCUGCCUGUUUAGCCCCGCCCACUGAUUAUACAGGGCUGCCUGUUUAGCCCCACCCACUGAUUCGCGCACAUAGUGUAAAUAAUGCUAACAAUAAACAAACUGUGGAAAAACAGUGUUUGCGUCACCUUCCUUCUGAUCCCAAUGUUAGAAUUAACUUUAUUUUUAAUGAAGAUCCAGAACAUGUCAGUAAAACCUUGGUUCUUUGUUCACUGCAUUUUACUCCGGAUUCAUGAACAAACAAGGCACAAUUCGAUGCAGGAUUUUCAGAAAGAUUGAAUCUGAUAGAUGAUGCUGUGUGACUAUAUUGGAUAUAACAGUAAUGUUGCAACACAUGCGUCAGAAACUGUUUUAAGUAUGUGAUCACUAUUGCUUUGUCUGUUAUUACAAAUAAUUUGAUAUGAUUAUUUAUGCAUUUUUGACCUAAAUCACAGCAGCCUCCAUCUGUGAAGGAUGUAGGCUGUCAAUCAUACACAACUAUUAGCCAAUCACAGCAGUGGCAUUUACUUCAGAGUCUACAAUCCUCC